rnacentral:lncRNA from 1 species
GUGUAUAAAACCUUCUGAUCAGCUAGGGAAUCAGUUCAGUCCUAUUUCUACGCACACUGAAAGUUCAACAGCUCCCAAACCCACUCACAAUGAAGCCAGCUGUUACUGCAGUUCUUUUGCUGUUGACGUUCUCUGCCAUCAUCUCCACAGAGGCUCGACCUAAUGGGAAAGGCGUUUGGAAUGCUGUUUUGCGUCAAGCACGGGACGACGAAUGCGGACCGGCAAGUGGGCAAUCGUGUGCGUCGGGCUUGUGCUGUUCCCUUUACAACGAAUGCGGAACUUCGGUCGCCCAUUGCAACGUCUCCCUCGGCUGUAAAAAUAAGUGGGGCGAAUGUCACUAAAAGGCGGCCCCAAUUUUCAAAAUCGGGGGAGAAUUGAGUUGAUUCAUUUCGCAAUGUGUACACCCUGCUUCUGCUUCUGCCACGCUCGUUUGAGCCCUAAAAUUGUCCUAAUGUCAAGCUGAAAUACCUGUAGCAGCAGAACAUUGUACCUGAUUUUUACGACGGUACGAUUUAAAUACUUUAAUUGCCAACAGAGGAGCAUGUGUGUCAAGCCGGUAUUGUAUUAUACAUGUGCUCAGACUUUAUAAUAAAUCUUUAUUAUUUGUGGAAGAGAGAUUCGUUUUUAAAGUUUACUCGUCACGUAGACUCUGUAACUUGUUGGUUCAAACUCGUUAACAAAAUUCCGACGAUCGACAAAACAAAAACAAAACACAACUAACCGGUUUCACACACGCAGAUGCGUACAAAGUCACGAGUAGAAAAGUUCCUCGAUGAUUGGUUGGCGUUUUCCCUACCCUCUCUUUUGAUUGCCCGAGGGUAUAGGUCAAUUAUAUGAAAAAUUCAAAGGGUAAAACCAAGUUGCAAGAAAAAGGAAAAAUAUGGAGAAUUUGCAUCAUUGGCCCAUUUCCGUUUAACCUAGAGACUUGAGAGAAAGUCUAAAUAGGCCUGUACAUAAAACCUUGUGGUCACCUUGGUAUUGAUCCAGUUCUUAUUGAAACACCUACACCUGUACACACACGCAAUUUUAGCUUUGGGACUAUUACGCACAAAAUGAAGGCAACAAUUCUCUUGAUUUUAACCGUUUCGGCUAUCAUUUCGACAGAGCCCCAGUUUGAUGUCGAAUCGAAUUCCGUGUUGGUCGACUCUAUACGAUGUGGCCCAAGAUUCGGACGGUGUGCAAGAGGCUUGUGUUGCGGCUUGAACAACGACUGCGGAUCCUCGAUCGCCCAUUGUAACGUUUCUCUGGGAUGCAAAACUAAGUGGGGCAUCUGUUAUUAACGGCAAACGGACCGUUUCGACCUCUUCAAUUACUUUUCAUUGGCAAAAGGCAAAACACAGUUGUAGAAAUUUGUAUCUAAACUCAACGGCGUUACGUUUUUUCAUUCCCUUAUUUAACAACCCAAAAAAGGAUAUGCUCGUCCAGCUGGCGUUCAUGUACUCUUUGGCCCCCACAUAACAUUUUAUAUUCACACUCCCUAAUAAUAAAUGAAUCGGGAUCACGACGUGACUCUCUUCGAAUACGUGUUGACUGUUUAUCUACGCAGUUUGACUUUGUCAAUGAAAUCAAUAAACGAACGCUGUCACUAGAA